rnacentral:ncRNA from 1 species
AAAGUCCCUGUCCGGUAAGGUUUAGCCAACCGCCGGUAUCGAGUGUUGCGUCUGAGGCGGAGAGGUUGAAAUGCUGCGAACAAUCCAGACGAAGCGUACACAGAGAAUCUUGUAGGCCGUAGGGGUAACCGUAUACCCUGAGAGUUGGAACAGCUUCGAAAUGCAAGUUGAGGUUGGCGAGGGUUUUAACGUACCCGAAGCUAAAAUGCAGCAUCCGCGAAAAUGGCGAGGAUGUGAAGGGCCUCCGGAGUCC